rnacentral:tmRNA from 1 species
GGGGGUGCUUUGGUUUCGACAGGAUUCCGAAAGUGCAAGUUGUAUGCCGAGAAUGGGACUCUCUCGUAAAAGUGUUUCGCAAAAGUAACCGACAACGAUUACGCUCUCGCUGCUUAAGCAGUGCCAAGCCCCGACCCGCUCCUGUAGGGAAAGGUGCUUGGACGCAAAUCAGGAUAGAGUUUCGCAACGCCUAAAAGCGAAACUUGAAAAUUUCGGGCUGGUUCUCAGGUGCGCCGACCUUUAGGGCGUUCUUGAGAGCGAGAUAUUAAAUUCAAAGGGAAAGCAUAUAUGAGCGACCGCCGCCGAGAUUUUGGACAGGGGUUCAACUCCCCUCACCUCCA